UAAUACAUUUGACUGAUGGAUCACUGAAAAGCAAAGGCUAAUAAUGUGUUGCUCCGAGUUUUGUGUAUUCGAAUAAAAACAGAACAAUAAUACAUUAUAUAGUGUCUACCUUGAACCGAGGGUCUUUCGGAAACAACCUCUCUAUCUUCCGGGGUAGGGGGAAGGUCUGCGUAUACACUACCCUCCCCAGACCCCACACGUGGGAGUAUACCGGGUGGUUGUUGUUGUUGUAUAGUGUCUACCUUUGUUUUAGUGGUAAAUAAAUCAGCCUAGCUCUGUGGCCGAUAAAGCCAAUCAGUCUAAUGCAUUAAUUAAAAAUAGUUAGGAAUCAAUUGUAUGAAUAUUGUCUUUUAUAUAUCCAUGCUGCAGAUUGUAACUCUAAUAGUC
rnacentral:lncRNA from 1 species